GCCUCUGCACCACUCGCCAACCUCCGCGCCCGCCGGGCCGAGGUCACGCCCGCUGCCCCCUCCUCGUGCCAAGCGGCAGCCCGCGAGCCCGGCCGGCAGGGGUCCGCGGCGGAGUCCGCAGGGAGACUCACCAGAACUUGAAGUGCUGCGAGUUUUGAAAUGGAACAUUAUUCUAUAUACCUCUAAGAAGGUUCAACAAAACAAGUUAAGGUGGGGAAUUAUCAAGACUCCUCCAGCAAAGCCAGCCAACCAAUGAAAGGGCUGGUAAGAAAUGAACCCAACACAUAGAAAUGGACAUCAAUAAAAUCUUCCAGUGAUGGCCUGAUGGAAGGAGAAAUAGAAGAGUCUUCCAGCAACUGGAACCAGGAGAUGAUCAUGUGGCAGUCUUUGAUGCUUCUCUACUGCCAUCAGAGCUUCCUUUCCUGUUUUUACCCAAGACUGAGUGAGUGAAUGAAUGAAGUAGUAUGAAUCAUCCUUCCAAAAGACUGAACUUGGAUCUGUUGCCAAGAAGACCAGAUUCUAUGACGUGUUUUUAACCUCGUGAUCACAGAAGCCCUUCUCCAAGGAGUGGGGAGAGACAAAGAUGGUGUCUUCAUGGAAGGAUGUCCAGAGUGCAUCCUGGCCUUGAGGACAUGAGACACACGACUUCCACAGCAGUAUUGAUCCCAUCCUAUCAUUUUCCACAGUCUGAGGGACUCAUGCCUCAUGUGGCUUGAGGCUAUAUAAACAGUAGCAUGAUCUAGGAAUCACUUCUUCCCAUGCAGAUUUUGGAUUUUUUUCCUGUAGUCCUGGGGAUUGAAACCAAGGUCUCACACUGAACUUUUUAAUGUUUAUUUUGAGAUACUGUCUUGUUAAGUGGCCCAGGUUGGCUUUGAACUUGUGAUCAUCCUACCUUGGCCUUUCAGUAGCUGAGAUUACAGGCAUGAGUUACCUUGCCUGGUUUAGCUAUUAUGUUUGUUUGAUCUUUCUCUGCCUUUUGAACUUGUCAAUUAGGGUUAGGGUUAUUGGUACCUUGGUCUUGGUCUUCAGCCCUGAUGAUGAUAAUGAGAAUAAAAUGAUUUAUAUUUAUCAUAUAUCUAUUAUGUACAAGACAUAUUGUACCUUAUUUGUGAUUUUUAUUACACUCAGUUUUUGAACAAGAAAAUCGAAGGUCAUAGAUAGGAAAUGAUUUUCUCAAAAGUACACAGUUUAUAAGUGACUGAUUUAAAAUUUAUUCCCAGCACUAUGGUAGCUACUGUUAUGUCGGAUUGUCUUAUGGUGAAGCACUAUGUUUUAAAUUGUUCUGUUCUGACCUGUUUUGUUAUGUCCUCUUUUAUCUUAAUCUUAUUUUUAAAAAAUACAAUUUUAAAAAAAGGAAAAAACAAAUUUAUUCCCAGGCCUCUCUGACACUUAAGUUUUGUACUUUUCACCACAACACAUUGUUUCUCUGAGGAGUUUAUCUCAGGCACAUCCCCUAUCUUUUCUGUUCUUGGCUUCCUUGAAAGACAAUGUUACUCUAAGAAUCUAAAUCCUUGAUUCUGUCCUCCUUUAGGUCACCGCAGGCCAUAGUGAUUGCAGUCAGCGCCUCAAGGCUUAGGUAAUUUUGCCUCACUAUUGAGUCCACGGUCUUUCAUGCCUGGUACGUAUGGGAAAAUCAGAGAAAAGGGAAGGACGUAGGAAGAAAGGGGUGGUUAGAAUGGUAAUGCACAGGACUGGCAGGGAGGAUAAGGACGCAAGAGACAUGAGAAGAGACCUAUGUAGAGACAAAAUGGUACUCAUUUGCUAAUCAAAAUCUCUUUAAUGGCUUAAUAGCCCAUUAAACUGUGGGGCCUAUUUAUAAUGGGACCUCAUCCAAAGGUACAUUUAUUUAAUCAGUGUCCUCCCUCCAACCCUACAGGGCCCUGGGGUAUUCUUAGCUCAGAGAAUCAUGGUCUUCUUUCAUAAUUGUCUUGUUCCUGAAGGUCUGAAGGUUAUUGAAGGAAAUAACUCACUGGAGGAGAGACAGAGACCAAGAAGUCUGUGGUUGGUUUAAUGCCUCUACUGAAUGGACCUACAAGACACCAGAGACCUUCAUUGGUGGCACUCUAAGCAAUAAAUUAUUUGACAAUUUAUAAGAUGAUGCUAGAUUUCAGGAUCUAUGUAGCUCUGGAUCUUCUUUGAUACACACAGUCCAACCAUAGUCUCAAAAUUGCUGUUGAUUUUUAUUAUGCCACAUUCUGUUACCACCACGUUUCUUUCAAUCCAUGAGCCACUGCCACACUGACAGAAAUAUAUUGACUGCUUUUGUCUUGGACAGUACCAUUAGACACAGAAAUAAGAUGAAGAAGAGCUAUCUCUUAACCUGGUUACACUGGGGGGUCAUGAAACAGGACCCCUAGAACUUGACCCCCUGCUUCCCAAGAGCAUCCUGACAAGCCAGACACUCGCAGCUCUGCCUUGUGAUCCACUGAAGUUGGUCCUACUCUGAUUAUCUGCUGUCCUGCACACCCUUGACUUGCCCUCUUUGAAGUCACCAUGCUCAUUUUUAGAACUUCUCAGCAAAUUACAGAAUUUAUGUCAGGAAAUGGGAAUUUCUCUUGAUCUGAAUGAGGCCCAAGAGAAUGUUACUUCUCUCCUGGCCAUGAAGAAACCCGUGUUGUGUCUGUUCUGAAUUAACACGUGGAGAAAGUGAUUCUAUUGAUGAUAGAGCUUUAGAGCUCCAGCGUAAUUGCUGCUUUCCAGACUUUUAGUAUCAUGAGGCUCAUAACAACAGCAGAGUCCAGAGGAACUGCUCAGCUGUAGUCUGCUCAUUGCUUGUUAAAUUUAUUUCUUUUUCGUAAUAAGAACAAGGCAGUACAAGCAGUGCAAGUAUUGGUGCUUCUCAUGAUGUAGCUUUUAACUUUUAUUUAAUAAUGACUUUAAAAAUUCCAUAAAGCUGGUACUUCCGAAAUUCGCAUCUUGUCAUUUCUAUUAUGUACAUAGGCUAUAUGCUUUUGAUUAAGUCUUCAGCUUCUUUUCUUUCCCCUGUAUGCUUGAUUUUCAUUCCCUUAUGGGCCUAGAUUGCUUGUCAUGCUCUGACAUGAUAUGCUUCCCACUUCUAUGAUUCUGGACAGUUUUCUCAGUUCUCUCACUAAAGUUUGUUUCCCAAACAGACUCGUGGCAGUUCUCCAAAGUACAGUUAAACCCAAAGUGGGCAGUGGGACAAUAAAAGCAAGUUUGAAUAUCAAAGUAAUAGCAAUAGGAAGAAUAAUUCUCACUUAUUGCCUUAGUUAUCUCUUCAUUUGUACCUGUGCAUACAUAAACAAGAAUUAGAUAAGUAUUUGUUGACUUAACUUAUUUUUUUUUAUUUUUAAGAGAAUAAAGCCAAACAAAAUAAAGCAGAAUAAAUUCAACCAAAACAAACAGUGAAAGCAAUAUAGGACUUCAGAACAAGAUAAGAGGAAACCAACAAUGGCUGACAUAAUGUCUCUUGUUAUCUUCAAAAUAGCUGUCCAUACCUUGAACAUGACUUAAUUUUUUUCAAUGCAGGAAUCAUUUUCUUUGAGAAGCUCCCUUUGUCUUUAAACCACCUAGUAUACACUCACAUGGACCCAGAAUGUUUAACAUUGAGAGAUGGAGUUGCUACCAUACAGGGCUUCUGUAAAAAAGCAAAGGGCCGUUAUUUUUAGUUUGAAGAGAUCCAGGGCAGAUGCCUGGAGAAAAGCUAACAGGACUGAAGGUAAAGUGUGUUUAAACCCCCAGCUCAAACUCUCUGGAUCUAUGGACACUCAUUUCUCCAACGUGCGCUAUACACGACCAGCGCACGAGCUGCUACUAGAGUCCCACUUGCCUGCUGGCAAUUGGAUGAGCAAUCGUGUCUUGUGUUUAAACUGAGAGAUGCACACAUUGCCAGAGGCCAUGGUGGGGACUGGCCUCCAUAUCUGCAGAAGUACAAAACUAAAUCACACAAAUAGAAACAAUCGUGCCUGCAACCUCGAGGCCAAUCUCUGCACAGUGUUAUCACCAACUCAUCACUUGGACUCAAACGAGCUUUGAAAAUAGUGUAUUUGGAGACGUUUUUCUCAGGAGGCAACAAGAAAAGGAAAGAUGACAGAGUAAGGUUCAAUCAAUAUUUUAAAGCCAUUUUGCUAUAAGCUUCGCCUGCUACUCCAACUCCUUAGUAAGCUGAAUUCCUCCAAAUACUGGUAUCCUCGCUCCCAUUUCUUAAACUUGAAGUUACAUUUUCAGACUGAAAACAAAGAUACCUUGCCAGAAAGAGGAAAAUAAGCUCAAGAAGGGAUGCAGGCCUCAGGGCGUUUGGGUGACUACUUAUUACUCGAGACCAGCAUUUCUAGAGCCGUGUUUUCCACUCUGCAUGACUCAGGCCAUCCAACAAGCACAUUCCAUGUUCAUAACACACUAACUCGAUAGUAAGAAAUUUAGCUUGGAAGAGGAAAGCUAUCAGGGAAAAAGCCCUGUUUAUGGUUACCAUUCUCUCUUCUCACUGAAGAAAUUCUUCCGGCUACUGAAAAUGACUCUAUUAUACAUUAAAAAAGAAA